rnacentral:rRNA from 1 species
UAGGGAAUCUUCGGCAAUGGACGGAAGUCUGACCGAGCAACGCCGCGUGAGUGAAGAAGGUUUUCGGAUCGUAAAGCUCUGUUGUUAGAGAAGAACGGUAAUGGGAGUGGAAAAUCCAUUACGUGACGGUAACUAACCAGAAAGGGACGGCUAACUACGUGCCAGCAGCCGCGGUAAUACGUAGGUCUCGAGCGUUGUCCGGAUUUAUUGGGCGUAAAGCGAGCGCAGGCGGUUCUAUAAGUCUGAAGUAAAAGGCAGUGGCUCAACCAUUGUAUGCUUUGGAAACUGUAGAACUUGAGUGCAGAAGGGGAGAGUGGAAUUCCAUGUGUAGCGGUGAAAUGCGUAGAUAUAUGGAGGAACACCGGUGGCGAAAGCGGCUCUCUGGUC